UUGGCCGGGCGACGGUUGUCCCGGUUUAAGCGUGUAGGCUGGUUUUCCAGGCAAAUCCGGAAAAUCAAGGCUGAGGCGUGAUGACGAGGCACUACGGUGCUGAAGCAACAAAUGCCCUGCUUCCAGGAAAAGCCUCUAAGCAUCAGGUAACAUCAAAUCGUACCCCAAACCGACACAGGUGGUCAGGUAGAGAAUACCAAGGCGCUUGAGAGAACUCGGGUGAAGGAACUAGGCAAAAUGGUGCCGUAACUUCGGGAGAAGGCACGCUGAUAUGUAGGUGAAGCGACUUGCUCGUGGAGCUGAAAUCAGUCGAAGAUACCAGCUGGCUGCAACUGUUUAUUAAAAACACAGCACUGUGCAAACACGAAAGUGGACGUAUACGGUGUGACGCCUGCCCGGUGCCGGAAGGUUAAUUGAUGGGGUUAGCGCAAGCGAAGCUCUUGAUCGAAGCCCCGGUAAACGGCGGCCGUAACUAUAACGGUCCUAAGGUAGCGAAAUUCCUUGUCGGGUAAGUUCCGACCUGCACGAAUGGCGUAAUGAUGGCCAGGCUGUCUCCACCCGAGACUCAGUGAAAUUGAACUCGCUGUGAAGAUGCAGUGUACCCGCGGCAAGACGGAAAGACCCCGUGAACCUUUACUAUAGCUUGACACUGAACAUUGAGCCUUGAUGUGUAGGAUAGGUGGGAGGCUUUGAAGUGUGGACGCCAGUCUGCAUGGAGCCGACCUUGAAAUACCACCCUUUAAUGUUUGAUGUUCUAACGUUGGCCCCUGAUCGGGGUUGCGGACAGUGUCUGGUGGGUAGUUUGACUGGGGCGGUCUCCUCCUAAAGAGUAACGGAGGAGCACGAAGGUUGGCUAAUCCUGGUCGGACAUCAGGAGGUUAGUGCAAUGGCAUAAGCCAGCUUGACUGCGAGCGUGACGGCGCGAGCAGGUGCGAAAGCAGGUCAUAGUGAUCCGGUGGUUCUGAAUGGAAGGGCCAUCGCUCAACGGAUAAAAGGUACUCCGGGGAUAACAGGCUGAUACCGCCCAAGAGUUCAUAUCGACGGCGGUGUUUGGCACCUCGAUGUCGGCUCAUCACAUCCUGGGGCUGAAGUAGGUCCCAAGGGUAUGGCUGUUCGCCAUUUAAAGUGGUACGCGAGCUGGGUUUAGAACGUCGUGAGACAGUUCGGUCCCUAUCUGCCGUGGGCGCUGGAGAACUGAGGGGGGCUGCUCCUAGUACGAGAGGACCGGAGUGGACGCAUCACUGGUGUUCGGGUUGUCAUGCCAAUGGCACUGCCCGGUAGCUAAAUGCGGAAGAGAUAAGUGCUGAAAGCAUCUAAGCACGAAACUUGCCCCGAGAUGAGUUCUCCCUGACUCCUUGAGAGUCCUGAAGGAACGUUGAAGACGACGACGUUGAUAGGCCGGGUGUGUAAGCGCAGCGAUGCGU
rnacentral:rRNA from 1 species